UGAAGCACAAGGGUUAUCUCCCCUUGUUUCUUGAUUAAAGCCGGUUUAAGAUGAUUGUGCAGGCUACUUGAUAGAGGAACCCGUGUCGGGUCCCAUCGACAAAACCCUAGUGGAGGAUUGGUGGGUCCUAGAAGGAUUCGACAACGGUGACGGUUGCCCAUACGAGAGUUGUGUUGCGGGGCAAUAGUAACAGACUCUAUUUGAUGUCCUCUUUUUUAUUCUUUUGGUAUACACCCCUUUUGUGCUCUCGAUAGUUAAAUUACUACUUCUUGUGUGAAUAUCAAGCUUAUGGGCUCACAUGUAAAGACACUAUGUAUAACAAUUUGGGUAUCAAGAGUAUAUGAAGAUUUACAGGUAUUUGUAUA